AGUACGUACCCGCCCCACCCCCGGGCGUCCGGCCCGGGCCGCGCUGCACCUGUUGCCGCCGGUGUUGUAGCUUCAGCCCGCGCACCUGGCUGAACCCCGCGUCCGCAGAUCUCAGCGCUGGAGCCCCAAGCCAAGCCAGGAGGCUGCAAGAAAAGAUUUGGGUUGCUUUCCUUUCAUCUUUGCUGCUGGACGACCCAAGAGAGUGGCCGAAUUACAUGAUUUCUGCACAUUGAAUAUUAACUUAAUGGCUGUGUCCUCUCCCCCCCUCCACUUGCAAUGCGGACUUUCUGAGGUGCAGGUGGAGACAAUGUUACACAGCACAUCUAUAAAUAGAAAGGCCUAGAAAUUGCCAGUGGUGCCAACACUGGAGGAGUCAAGGAGACAAUAUCCCAUGUGAUUUUGAAUGCGCUUCAUUUUCUCCCCGAGACUCAGUGAGCGUGUUAUAACCGAAUACUUAACUCCCUUUCAUCUUCUCUGAAAGACUGGAGCUUGUCUUGGACUUGCCCACCAUAGAGCACAGUUUUACUGGGUGUUAUUGACUUUCUUAAGCCUGCAUUCUAAAUAAAGUGCUGAUAUGAGUUAGAACACAGGGUACAGUCUCAGGUUUACAAUGCUUGAUAAUUGAGUCAAGACACGAAGAAAAUUCAUCCUCAGAAAUACCUGCCAUGAAAAAUGUCGUCUUGAACUUUAGAAUGCAGAGGUCUAACUUUUCUUUUAGAGAAAAAAGGUUUUUUCCCCCAAAUAAACAAACCACAAAGUGUUAUGUGGGCCUAAAAUACAUAAAAAAGGAUAAAAAAAAAUUUAGCUGCACUGCAUGAAAGGAGAAAGGGGAAGGUUUUCUUGUUCCCUGAAAUAACCCCAAGGCAGGUCACAAGAACCAAAGCUCCUCUGAGCCCAGCUGAGAGGCCGUUAGACCAGCUCCUCUCCAAAUACCAGUCACAUGGAAACCUGGCUGCAGAGCUCUGAGAAGAUGCCCUUCACCCAGACUCAGAACUCAGCCUACUCGUUAUCUCCCUGGCAACCAUGCUCUGGCCAUCUCGUCUCUCCUCACCCCUUCAAUUCCUGGUGAAAGUCACUCCGCUCCUCAAUUCACCUUACUACACCCCUGCUCUCAUCACCAUUUCCAUCAUCGGCCUUGCAAAUACUUCUGGAGCACUUAACACACAACACGUACAGUGUCAUUUCAUUUAGUCCUCAGUAUGCUACCAAGGGGUGGCUAUAUUAUUCAUAUUUUAAAAAGGAUAGUAACCACCACAGAUCUAUAAAGGGAUUUGCCACCUAAAAUAUGGCAAAGAUAAAAGUAACCCCCAAACAACCUGACUCGAAUCUUCUGGAGCCAUGGCUACUAAAUCCCAAGUCAUCUUGUUUAUCACUGAUUGUAGAGUAGGUGCCUAUGUGUUUACCUGUCUUUCUCUACAUGUAGUCUUGUUAGUUCUUUGAGAGUAUGAACUCUGUCAUAUCCAUUGCUGUAUCACUGUCACCUUAUACAACGCCUGACACAUCCAACAGGUGUUUAGUAAUUAUUAGGUGAUCAGGCUGCCAGCGCAUUUGCUUAAAAGGCUAAAACAACUUGUAGUGGUUAUUCAAAAGAGCAAAAUGAUAGAAAUACUAGCAUGAAAGUUAAACCUUAAGAUGGUGGAAAAUUUUUCAAUAAUUUCCUUUUUUAAAAAAAAGAUUGAUUUUUAAAGUCAGUGAGAGAGAGAGAGAGAAUCGAGAGAUCAAGAUUGUCCACCCACUGGUUCACUCUCAGAUGGUCACAAUGGUCAGGGUGGGGCUCAUCCAAAGUCAGGAUCCAUGUGAGUGUAGGAGCCCAAGGACUUGGGCCAUCUUCUGCUGCUUUCCCAACUGCAUUAGCAGGGAGCUGGAUUGGAAAUGGAGCAGUCAGGACUCAAACCAGCACUCAUAUAGGAUUCUGGUGUCACAAGCAGUGGCUUUACCCACUGUCGCUCCCCCUCUUCGCGGAGGAACGACACAGGACCCUGCACUGUUCUUUUGUCUGCUCGGCCCUCCCCGGGUUUGCUGCUGGUUCUUCCCGGGUUGGCUACCGUCCCUUCCACCUCCGUGGAAGGGCGGUUCCCCCUGCCACUUUCCCCACUUCCGCGGGGGAGCGGCACACCGCCGGCCGGCUCUCUCGGGGGCUGCUCAGGUGUUCCUCAUAGAUGUUCCUGGUGCAUGGUGUCUCUCUCCUCCUUUAUAGUCCUCCUCCACCAAUCCCAACUCUGCUACCCACACACUGAGCAUGCUGCUCUCCUCCAAUCAGGAGCAGCUCCUGCAGCUUGUCAAGUUGGUGAGAGGCAGCUGGGUAGAAGCUGUUUGCUCCUCUCCCAGCGCCAUAUUGUGGGAGAGCAGAUGUAUAGAAUAAGUCUUAAUUCCAGUAACAGUAUAGUCCGAGUUGCUCCCCACAACCCACUACACAAUACCAACCCCUAAAAAUAACUUCUAAUAGCACUAACUUUUCAACAUUUGGAAUGAAGACACUCUUGUAAGAAAACCUAAUUCUUAUAGUACCCAAAACAUCCAAAUUAACAUAAUCUUUUGGUAUAGGCAGAUAGGAUCAAAUUGAUUAGAUUUGUGAAUUGGCGACCACACCCCCUAUGAGCUCUCAAGCCCCUACCUGAUCUCACCUGCCCACCUGCCAAUGAGACCACGUAACCACCCCACUUUGGGAGUGGAUAAAAGUCCUGGAGCAUGGUGGGCCUCUCCCUUUUUUGGUUGUGCACCCUUGUUGUGCCCUUGCUGUCCUUUGGGCCACCAGCUCUCUGCUUUCCUGCCUGUAUGCUUGCUCCAUGUGGCUCCUGGCCUGCUCUUUGCCUGGUGUGGAUCCAACUUAGCUUCUAGACUUCUUUCUCCUCUAAUUAAAGCCCUCACUUCCCUGUGCAUUUCUCUCACUGAAUAAAAUCCCUAAAAACUUACCAUGUUGCCUGGUCUCAUUAAGCCAGUAUUCAGAAUUCUUCUCUGAAUAAAUGGCAAGAACCCAAGGGAUUAUUAAUAUGGAAAAUUAUUAAUAAACAGGACAAUAUCAUUUUGGGAAGGAAAUUUGACAAUUUCACUUUUUACAAGGUUAUCUUUAAAAAUAUUUCAAAAAACCAAAUAAAUAUACUUAUUACAGCAUUAUUUUUAUUGGAAACAGCUGGAAAUGGCCUGUUUUAAAAAAAGCAGAAUGGCCAAAAAUCACAGAAGUAACCAUAUGGUGAUGUUUUAUAAGACCCUCAUAAUUUGGCAUGGGAAGACAAUAACUUGAAAAUAUAGUUAAAUCAUAACAUGAAGUAAAGCAAAGAACUAUGAAAUUUGACCUCAGGCCUGAUUUCCUAGCUAUUGUUGACAAAUUAAAAGAAAAAAACAAAAUAAAACCAUUGUCCUUACUCUAAUUCUCUACCUUCCCUUAAAUAUCUCUGCACUUUAAAUUAUUUUAUUGUCAGCUAAAAUAAUAACUAUGUGGCACUCUCUCUCUACACACACACACACACACACACACAAUUAAAGAGCACCCAUCUAUUAUCAUAAGGGCAAUAAGUUACAUUCACAAAAUCCUUCAAGAAAUGAAAAAAAUUUUAGAGAAGCAAAUUGGUUUAAUUCCUGGAGUCCAGUUGCUUGUCACACUGUAGGUGGCCUGCUGUAUCAUGUGUAUACAAUACAGUGGCUUCUCUAAGGACAGUACACUUGAUAGCAGUUUACUUUCAUUUGUUUUGGGUUUUGAAAUAAGCUAAAUUGCCAAGCCUACCCAUAAUAUGCCUCCCUGUUCAAUAUCCUUGAAGUCAUUUGAUUUAUUUUCUGAGAAUCAAUAGCCUCUUAAAAGUCUAUUUAAAAAAUAUUAUCAGGCUGGCCUUGUGCAGCAGGAUAAGCCAUCUCCUGUGAUGCUGCCAUCCCUCAUGGGCGCCAGUUUGAGUCCUGGUUCCACCACUUCUGAUCCAGCUCCCUGCAAAUGUGUCUGGGAAAGCAGCAGACAUGGGCCCCUGCCACCCAUGUGGGAGACCUGCCUGAAGUUCCUAGCUCCUGGCUUUGGCCCCAGGCUGUUUCAGUGGAUGGAAGGGAUUUCUCUCUCCCUCUCUCUCUCCCUCUCUCUCUCUCUUUCUCUCUCUGCUCCUACCAUCCACAAUUUUGCUUUUCAAAUAAGUACAAUAAAUCUUAAAAAUAGGUAUUAUCAUUAAGCAGAUACCACCAGCACAUGAUAAAAAUUUCACACGGUAAUAAAAGAUAUAAAACAUACAAAUAAAAACGUCCUUCCAGUCCCCUGAGGUAAUCACUGACAUGUUCCCAUGUCAGUUUCUUUCCACAUUCAUAUGAAGUGCAUAUAUCUUUAUUUUUUAAAACAUAAACAAAGCCAUGAUCUACUGUUCAUAGUCCUGAGUCACACAAACCUCACAACAUAUAUUAGGAUAUUUCCAGGAUAGACUCUCAACCAGCAAUCAAGAAAAAAAAAAAAAAAAAAAACAAGUAAA